rnacentral:rRNA from 1 species
UGGGGAAUAUUGCACAAUGGGCGCAAGCCUGAUGCAGCCAUGCCGCGUGUGUGAAGAAGGCCUUCGGGUUGUAAAGCACUUUCAGCGAGGAGGAAGGUGGUGAACUUAACACGUUCAUCAAUUGACGUUACUCGCAGAAGAAGCACCGGCUAACUCCGUGCCAGCAGCCGCGGUAAUACGGAGGGUGCAAGCGUUAAUCGGAAUUACUGGGCGUAAAGCGCACGCAGGCGGUUUGUUAAGUCAGAUGUGAAAUCCCCGGGCUCAACCUGGGAACUGCAUUUGAAACUGGCAAGCUAGAGUCUCGUAGAGGGGGUAGAAUUCCAGGUGUAGCGGUGAAAUGCGUAGAGAUCUGGAGGAAUACCGGUGGCGAAGGCGGCCCCCUGGACGAAGACUGACGCUCAGGUGCGAAAGCGUGGGGAGCAAACAGGAUUAGAUAACCCUGGUAGUCCACGCUGUAAACGAUGUCGAUUUUGGAGGUUGUGCCCUUGAGGCGUGGCUUCCGGAGCUAACGCGUUAAAUCGACCGCCUGGGGAGUACGGCCGCAAGGUUAAAACUUAAAUGAAUUGACGGGGUCAUAGCU